GGCGGAAGAAAAAGAAUAAUAAAUAUAAAUCAAUUGCUUUAAAAAAGCAAUUGUAGGUGGUCUUUCCCCCUUUAAAAUUAAUUGAAUUUGGGGGGGGGGGGUUUGUUUGUUUGUUUGUUUGAUUGUUUGCUUGUUUGUUUGUUUCUGUAUGGGGUCUAUAUUAUUGUUACCGGAGAAGUUUCAUGUUUAGUUUGGAAAGUUUUUAUUUUAUUUUAGGUACAGCGCGCGCCAGAUUGAGGAGACACCACGUGACGCGGCUUUAUAUUAAGAAAAACUUAGUCUUUUUAUUUCUUUUUAGGUGGGGACGUUAAACAGACAACAUCUAUAGAGAUGGAAUGUACACAAUGUAAUUUCUUUUGUCAUUGUAGGAAAUUGACAUUUUGAUCACAGUUCCCGUCAGUGCAUGUUUUGGAUUUAAUUGAUCCGGUGUAACUUUAAAACACAUUUAUUGAUUGUUUUCUGAUAUUGUACAUUUUUCAGCACCUGUUUGUAACACAGAUUAGUAUUUCAAUCUCGGAGCGGACAUUUUAUUGUAGGUUUUUACUGAGAUUUACGGACCUAGCAAGCGAUUUUUACGGCAUUGCCAUUUCUUUUCUCUAGGAAAAGCUUUGAGAGAUAUCUGCACCAAGUUUUUUUAUAAACUUUUAGUACAUGUAUGCCCUGCUGACUGCAAAUUUUGAGGUCGAUUGUACUUGUAGUUUCAGAGUACAUGUGGAUUUUUUUUUCAGAAGUGACGCAAGAACAAUAUUAAAUUUCAAUUUUUCAUGAAACAUGAUUGAUUGAUCAUGAUCAUGAUUGAUUGAUUACUUGAUUGAUUGAUUGAUUGAUUAGUUGGUUGGUUGGUUGGUUAAACACGUUGGAUAGGGUCAAUUGAAACAGCGAAAAAGAAACAAAGAAGAUCUUGGACCGUAUAUUAAACACAUGAGACGGAUACAUGAUUGAUUGAUCAUGAUUGAUUGAUUGAUUGAUUGAUUGCUUGGUUGGUUGAUUGAUUAGUUAGUUGGUUGGUUGUUUGGUUGGUUGGUUGGUUGGUUGGUUAAACACGUUGGAUAGGGUCAAUUGAAACAGCGAAAAAGAAACAAAGAAGACUUGGACCCUAUAUUAAACACAUGAGACGGAUACAUGAUUGAUUGAUCAUGAUCAUGAUUGAUUGAUUGAUUGAUUGAUUGAUUGAUUAGUUGGUUGGUUGGUUGGUUGGUUGGUUGGUUGGUUAAACACGUUGGAUAGGGUCAAUUGAAACAGCGAAAAAGAAACAAAGAAGAUCUUGGACCGUAUAUUAAACACAUGAGACGGAUACAUGAUUGAUUGAUCAUGAUCAUGAUUGAUUGAUUAGUUGGUGUUGGUUGGUUGGUUGGUUAAACACGUUGGAUAGGGUCAGAUCUUGAACCCUAUGAUAAACACAUGAGACGGAAACAUGAUUGAUUGAUUGAUCAUGAUCAUUAUUGGUUGAUUGAUCAUGAUCAUGAUUGAUUGAUUGAUUGAUUGAUUGAUUGAUUGAUUGAUUGAUUGAUUGAUUGGUUGGUUGGUUGGUUGGUUGGUUGGCAGGCAAACACACAUAAAACUCUUCAAGUAGUGCCCCAAAUCACAUAUGUACAUGACCUUGACCUUUGACCUUGUGACCUUUGUCAAGGUCAUUGCUUCACAAUAUCAUCGCAAAAGACCCUAUGGGUAAAGGUCAUUUUGUUUAAGAGUUUUGUCUAAUAAUGGCUUUAUAUAAACCAUCAAUGGGGAUUAUGUCCCUUACACAAUGGUAAAACCAAUAUAGUCAUAAUGUAACAAAGUUGCCCCUUGAAGUCCUUAACAUUUUUCACUGCUUAAAUUUUCUGUAUCUAUAACCAUUCAAGAAUUAUAGGGAAAUCAAAGACAUAUGAAAAUCUAAAAUAUGACCUUGACCUUUGACCUUGACCUAAUUUUCUAAGUUAGGAAUCAGGGGACUCAAAUAAAAACAUUCCAGGGUUAGACGGUUAACGGUUUAUGAGUUAAAAAAACAUACCGACAAAUUUAUUCCGUAAAGAUAGAUAACUCCUAUAAAAUUUCAUCGAAUCGCUUCGAUUCAAAUUAGCCAAAAUUUUCUGAGGAUGUAACGAACAAUUUGUAAAAAGAAUUUUGUCGAUAUCUUUUUUUUGUUACGAAGGAGAUGCACACACAUGAUAAACAGUGAAUAGGGAGAUAACUCUUACAAAGAAAAUGGUUCGUCUUAGCAGGGUGAAAUUUAAAAGCGUAAAAACUGUACGAUACUAUACAAAAAAAAAUCUAAGCGACAUAAUGCGAAACAAAAAUUUCGAAAUUUGGCGGAAGAAAAAAAAAUAAUAAUAAUAAUAAUCAGAACAAAUACAAUAGGACUUUCCACAGAAAAGUGGAAAGACCUAAU
rnacentral:lncRNA from 1 species